GAUUUCUGGUUUGACUCGCCUGUCCCGCCACGGUAACGUGCGUGAGUGAUGGAGUGAAUCGGCCAUCCUUCUAGAUGGCCGUCAUGGUGCAAACUAUGGCGGUUGGUCUAGAUCGUUUACUUUGAAAAAAUUAGAGUGUUUCAAGCAGGCAUAUUGCUGUGAAUACAUUAGCAUGGAAUAAUAAUUUAGGACUUCGGUUCUAUUUUGUUGGUUUCUAGGACUGAAGUAAUGAUUGAUAGGGACAGUUGGGGGUGCUAGUAUUCAGUAAGAAAGGGUGAAAUCUUUGGAUUUACUGAAGACUAACUUAUGCGAAAGCAUU
rnacentral:rRNA from 1 species